GAGAGAGAGAGAGAGCGAGAAACUGGCUGUUAAACCAGCCAGAGAGAGUAGUGUCACUGAGCUUGGCAUGCGUGCUUUCUGUUUUAUGUAAGUGUAUUGGUCUGUGUGUAGCUGGCAGUGUCCUUCCCUAGCACAGGCAGCAGUGUCAAUCUAGUGUUCCUCGAUGAUAGUCAGUCGGUGAGUGAGUAGAAAGAGAGAGAGAGAGGUCUGCAUUUUUUGUCUCUUCACUGCCCCUGCACCAGCACCACAGGAUAGAACACUGAGGAUCGAACACCGCAUCAAUCCAAUAGGGACGCCAUGUACCCAACCGACGAGACGGUUACGACUGUCUCUCCAUCGGGUCAGGGUGGUAGACCGGAGUCUCCUGUCUACUCUAACCUUCAGGAGCUGAAGAUCUCUCGGUCGAGCCUACCUCCCAACCCCUCCAGCUCCCCACUGCAUGUCCUGGGGGACUGGGAGACACACAAGGACCAGAACGGCAGACACUACUACUUCAACCGCGCCACCCAGGAGCGGACAUGGAAGCCCCCCCGAGCCAAGGACGCUAGCAGUGGUAGCAGCAGCCGGGGGGAGACUCACGGCAAAGGUACUGGGGAGGCAGAGACAACUCUGCCUCUCUCUUUCUCCCCAUCCUUCCUUCCUCUCCUCUCGCUCGCCAUUGGUCGCUUCCAGCCUCUGUCGUUGGAGGACAACUGCCACAGCACGUAUUCUAGCCAAUCAGACAGCCAGUAUGGCUCCCCGCCUCGAGGUUGGUCAGAAGAGCUGGAUGAGCAUGGACACACUCUGUAUGUUAGUGACUAUACUAAUGAGAAGGUACUGGGGACUCGCUCUGUGUCUGUCUUCACUGUCAUGGCCUCUGAGUUCUUCUCUAUAUUACACUUAGACCGGACCACUGCACCACACUAGGUGCUUUUUUAGUGUGUCAGUGAUGCUCAUCUAGUCUUGUUUGUGUUUGUGUGUGUGUGUGUCCGUCCAGUGGAUAAAGCAUGUUGAUGAACAGGGCCGACCCUACUACUACAUUGCUGACGGCUCAAGAUCUGAAUGGAAGCUGCCCAAGUACAACCACUCCCUUCCUCCCCUGCCGGGAGGAGGAGACACCCAUAAGAGCCGCAGUCUGGACAGGAAGCAUGUAGAGCCCAUCGUCCUGACCAAGUGGAGACACAGCACCUACGCACUGGACACCAACGACAAGCCUUCAGAGAAGUGUGGUGUUCUUAAUGUGACCAAGAUCACUGAGCAUGGCAAGAAAGUACGGAAAAAUUGGACGUCGUCCUGGACAGUCCUUCGGGGCUCCUUGCUACUAUUCACUAAAAGCCAGGGGGGCGGGACCAGCUGGUUUGGAGGCAUCCAGUCCAAGCCAGAGUUUACUGUGGACCUGAGAGGAGGAUCUAUAGAGUGGGCUUCCAAAGACAAGUCCAGCAAGAAGCAUGUUAUAGAGCUGAAAACCCGUCAGGGCACAGAGCUGCUGAUCCAGUCAGAGAAUGACAGUUUCGUCAAUGACUGGUACAGAGCACUGACGGACACCAUCAGCACACACGCCUGGGAGUCAGAUGAGGCCAUAGAGGAGGACAUGCCAGAGUCUCCUGGAGCUGAGAAACAAGACAAAGAGAAAGAUCACAGAGACUCUAAGAGCAGAGCCAUGAAGAGUUCUACCAGUAUGGACACAUCAGAUGACAAGAAGACCAGACACAAACUUAUGAAGUUCCUCACACGCAGACCCACUCUGCAAGCCGUCAGAGACAAGGGCUACAUCAAAGACCAGGUGUUUGGCUGCAGUCUGAGUGACCUCUGUCAGAGAGAGAACGCAUCCGUGCCAAGUUUCGUCACGAUGUGCAUCGACCACAUGGAAAACAAUGGUAUGUGUGCUUGCUAACACUUUACUUGACACCUAACGUUAUCAUAAUAAUAUGUCAUAACCUGUCAUAAUAUGGUCAUAACACUGUCAUGACACAACUACGUGAGUGUCAAAACACAUAAAACCUUCCAACAUUCCAUUACUCUAUAGCCUACUUGUCAAUAGUACUUUUCUGUUAUGUAAAAUUUUCUGAAAAUGUCCAUAUUAAAUUACCAUUGUAAUUGUGCACACAUUGAUGUCAGACAUGUAGCUAUCCCAAUUGUGUUGCUGAUGACCAGGUUGAAUGCAAGAUCAGAUUUCAGGAGCAGGAUAAAGACACCUUUAUGACUGAUAACUGACACAAGGGCAUAUACGUGACGGGCCUAUCUGGCUUGUAUGAUUAUGAUAGUCAUAAUGCUUCAGGACAGUGUCAUAAAGUGUAUUUUCUUCAAGGUCUUUAAAAUAUGAUGAAAAAAAUUACUAAAAAUUUCAUUACAACAACAACAAAGGAUUUAACAAACAAACUUUCAAACGAAAGGAAACCUCUUGACAGGGAAGAAAUGCAUUUGAAUAAAUGUAAAUGUGUGUUUUGACGCUCUUUUGUAGGUGUCAUGACCAGCCAUAAAAUAACACCAUAUAUGUCACAACAGGUGUAAAAAUAUGUGUCAUGACAGUGCUAUGACCAUAUUAUGACAGGUUACGUCAGCUGUUAUGACAGAUUAUGACAUGGUUAUGACCGUGUAAUAACGUGUUAUGAUGCCAGGUGUCGGAGACCGUGUUACCGUGUGCUCCUGUGUCUGUCUGUCGGUUGUCUCUCAUUCUGAUGAUGUGAUGAUAUUAGCAGGAAGAAUAAAGGCUUACCAGGCACUCUAAACAGAUAGAGAGCCUGGUAGAUGGUAGGUGCUACUGUCCCCUCUCUUCACUGUCAAUCAUGGUAGGUGCUCCUCUCUCUCUCUCUCUGUUUACUGCAGCUUUACCACAAAAUCUCCUGGUUUUCCAGAAGUAUUCAAGAUUUCCAGGACUUCUGGAGAUUUUAGGAAGUGCAAUUUAAAGGCCUUUGUUGAGUUUGCAUAUCCAUGAAGGAAAGUUAAAACAAUGCAAACAAUUGGGCUACUGCCAACGUUUGUGUGAUGAUGGUGCUGUGUUCCUCUGUCUGUAGCUCUGAAUGUGGACGGGCUGUACAGAGUGAGUGGGAACCUGGCUGUCAUCCAGAAACUACGCUUCGCUGUCAAUCAUGAUGAGAAGGUGGACCUUGAGGAGGGAAAAUGGGAAGAUAUCCACGUGACUACGGGAGCGUUGAAGAUGUUCUUUAGAGAGCUACCUGAACCGCUCUUCACUUACAACUUAUUCCAUGACUUUGUCAAUGCCAUCAAGAUCCCAGACUACAUGCAGCGUGUCCAGUCUAUCAAGGAGCUGGUCAAACAGUUGCCCAAACCCAAUCAGGACACCAUGCAGGCCCUCUUCAAACACCUCAGGAAGGUGAUUGACCAUGGCGAGGAGAACCGUAUGACGACCCAGAGCGUAGCCAUAGUGUUUGGCCCCACCCUGCUCAGACCCGAGACAGAGACCUGGAACAUGGCAGUCCACAUGGUCUAUCAGAACCAGAUAGUGGAGCUCAUCCUGCUGGAGUACGAGGGUAUCUUUAGGUAGAAACCAGAGGAGAGACUUUUCCCCGUGUACAGAUCUAGUACCAGCUUACGCUCGCCCAAUCCUAACCUUAACCAUUGGUGGGGAGAAUGCCAAACUGACCCAGGAUCAGUGUUUGUUACGGUCUAUGGUAAUUAAUACAACCCCGGCCUACUCUCUGAACAACACCACCACCAUGACCAUACAGAGCUCCUAACCCAGCCCAACAGACCAAUCCCAAGCCUCUUCUUCCUCUAACCCGUGGUCAUUCACAGCACACCUCAGAUUCCAUCCCCCAUAGGCCAGACCUGUAUGGAUACAUGGUAAAAAACAAAGGUGGACUUAUUAUCCACGACCAAUAAACCAACCAAGUUGAGACUCUUUGCACUUGGCUGCAAACAUGUGUGCUUCCCCCCUCCUCUUCUCACCAUGGCAGGAUUUGUGGGACUUACUGCCAAAGACAAAAAUCCACUUCUGUCCAUACACUGGAUUUCCAUGGCCAGUAACUGAGAUAGCCUCUCGUCUGGAUAGACUGGUCGAAAGGAGGAUACUGUCCGGAUGGAGCGUUGAAGAGAAGACAGACACUAUAUUAUGGUUAGGGCUCCACCCUUGACAACCUUGAUAUGUUCAGGAAAGGUGGGUCUGUCAGGCAGGCCUCCGUAACCUCAGUCUCCCGACAGUGGUGUCAGUAUUGCAGGGGGAGGGUCUAUCUAUCCACUAUUCUGGCUGCACUAAACAGUAUUUAGCCUACACUGUACAGUAUAUUUACCUGUUAAGGACAUACAGACCAGACUGUAUAGAGAGGUCUGUCUGUCUCUUGCUUGGUCUCUCUGUCUGCUGGGACACCUUCAGCUCCUCUACCAACACAAUGUCGGCGUCCCAAAACGACUUCUGAACAGAGCCCUAUGGGCCUUGGUCAAAAAUGAAAAUGCUGAGCUAUAUAGGGGAAAAUACUUUACCUUUUAUUUUCUAUAUGCUGUUUGUUCAGGCACCUCUUCUCUCUGUGGGCUCAACUAGAGAAUCAAUGAAUGUCUGUAAAUAAAGUGGCUUUGUCUCCCUCUGCUGUUUCUAAAGUACAGAGCUGGGAGAGUGUGCUUGCGUCCCAAAUGGUACUCUACUCUCUAUCUAGUGCAUCAUCAAAAGUAGUGCACUAUAUAGGGUAUAGCGUGCCAUUAGAUACGCAGCCCCGUAUGCACCUCUAUGUCAUGUAAUGAGCUAUAUGGUAGACUCUUACCUCCUAAUACAGCCCUGUGUGUGCGUGCAUUUGUGUGUGCGCUUGUGUGCCUGUGUAAAGGCCCCAGCAUGCAUCAGAAAUGACCCAUAUCCUCUAAUAUACACACUUCUUUUCUCUCUCUCUCUGGAGAUACUGGAAGCAGUCCGUUUUACACUACUCAAAGGUAGUGCACUAUAUAGGGACUAGGGUGCCAUUUGGGAUGCUCCAACUGACUCAUGGUUUUACUUCAGCCAUUCAUACCAAAACUACUCUGCUUCUCUGGUUUUUAGAACAAGUCCUCUCCUAUCAGUCAGAUAACUUAAAAACACAGAAAUGGUACUGAGAUGUGUAUAUCUUUGGACUGGUUGUAAAUGUAUUAUAAUAAGGCAAGUAACAUUUAAUAAAUAAAUGUAAACAACGUGUGAAUGUGUGUGUAUGGGCAGGGGACUGAUGGACAGGAAGUAUGUUGUACAGAUGUACUUUAAUUACUAUCAGACGACUUUAUGGUGACCAUUAUAAACUUGAGGAAACAAACAUGUUUAUUUAAGACCCAUUCCACCAAAAUCACAUGAACUGUUUAGGGUUGAGAAAUUCCAGUAACUUUCCUAAAAUUCCCAGGUUUUUCAGAAAUCCCUGUUGGAAGGAUUCUCCGGAUAUUCAGCCAUUUCCUCCUGAUUACGGGAACAUUCAAACCAGGAUUGUUGGAAAGCCUGGGAGUUCGGGGAAAGUUACUGGAAUUUUACAAACCUAGAACUAUUAUAUGAACUGCGGUUUUAAAAGUUUAGCUGUAUUUUUGGUAAGUGGCACAUUUUGAAUGUAAUAAUUUUCCAAACUAACUGCUGUUCAUGACUUCUUUGUUUAAUUGGAAUAAAGGCCUCCAUUGAGACCCUGUAAAACCUG